rnacentral:lncRNA from 1 species
GUAGAGUUUGAUCCCUGAGCUGCGGUCCCAGAUGCUGAUCACGUCAUCCAGGCCGCUGCUGAUGACGCAGGACGUGGUGCAGGUGAGGGAGGUGACGUCCCCACGGUGCGCAUACAUGUGGCUCACUUUGCUGCCCGUCAGCACGUCCCACAGGCAGAUGGCCCCAUCCUGCCCUCCACUCGCCAGCACCAUCGUCUGAUCUAUGUACACAGCAGUGAUUGCUCC